AGAGGGUGAAACUCCCGUCCGCAUGGUAGAAUGAGUCUUUGUCAACGAGUCGAGUUGUUUGGGAUUGCAGCUCUAAUUUGGUGGUAAAUUCCAUCUAAAGCUAAAUAUUGGUGGGAGACCGAUAACGUACAAGUACCGUGAGGGAAAGAUGCAAAGAACUUUGAAAAGAGAGUUAAAGAGUGCCUGAAAUUGCUGAAACGGAAGCGAAGGAAACCAGUGUUUGUUGGUUCAUAUUUCCCUGGCCACUUGUGGUUUGGGCGCUGUGAGCUUGCGUGGGCUUGGGUUGGUUGAUCCCUCUGGAAGAGCGCAGUCAGAGUUGAUGUCU
rnacentral:rRNA from 1 species